rnacentral:lncRNA from 1 species
GAAUCGAUCGAUGUAAUCAUUCCAUACCAAGUUCGAUAAGUCGAAGGAGGGAAUGAGGGAUUAUCAUCAUGCAUCGGUGGGGCUAUAAGUUACCAUCUCUAAUGUGUACUAAGCCAAUUGGGUUGGUUGGUUGUAUGGCUAAGGCACAAGAGAUUGGUCAAGGUAAAACUAUUCCGCUGCGUAUAUGAGUUUACCAAGCAAGGCCGUGAGCCAAAUCUAUGUAAACAAGAUAAAUCUUGGUCGUUCGGCCGGGAAUGAGGUCGGACGCCGAAACGUCAA